rnacentral:rRNA from 1 species
ACGAACGCUGGCGGCGUGCUUAACACAUGCCAGUCGAACGGUGAAGCGCCUUCCUUUUUGGUGGGUGUGGAUGAGUGGCGAACGGGUGAGUAACACGUGAGUAACCUGCCCCCUUCUUCUGGAUAACCGCAUGAAAGUGUGGCUAAUACGGGAUAUUCUGGGUCUGUCGCAUGAUGGGUCUGGGAAAGAUAUUGUUUCGGUGGGGGAUGGGCUCGCGGCCUAUCAGCUUGUUGGUGGGGUGAUGGCCUACCAAGGCGGUGACGGGUAGCCGGCCUGAGAGGGUGGACGGUCACACUGGGACGGAGACACGGCCCAGACUCCGACGGGAGGCAGCAGUGGGGAAUAUUGCACAAUGGGCGCAAGCCUGAUGCAGCGACGCCGCGUGAGGGAUGGAGGCCUUCGGGUUGUGAACCUCUUUCGCCAGUGAAGCAGGCCUGCCUCGUUUGUGGGUGGGUUGACGGUAGCUGGAUAAGAAGCGCCGGCUAACUACGUG